UAGGGAAUAUUGGACAAUGGGUGAGAGCCUGAUCCAGCCAUGCCGCGUGCAGGAAGAAGGCGUUAUGCGUUGUAAACUGCUUUUGCCAGGGGAUAAAAUGACCGUGCGCGGUUAAUUGAAGGUACCUGGUGAAUAAGCCACGGCUAACUACGUGCCAGCAGCCGCGGUAAUACGUAGGUGGCAAGCGUUGUCCGGAUUUAUUGGGUUUAAAGGGUGCGUAGGUGGCCCUGUAAGUCAGUGGUGAAAUAUCUCAGCUUAACUGAGAGGGUGCCAUUGAUACUGCAGGGCUUGAGUACAGAUGAGGUAGGCGGAAUUGACGGUGUAGCGGUGAAAUGCAUAGAUAUCGUCAAGAACACCGAUAGCGAAGGCAGCUUACCAAGCUGUAACUGACACUGAGGCACGAAAGUGUGGGGAUCAAACAGGAUUAGAUACCCCUGUAGUCCCUGAGCGGGCUGGCAAGGCGCAU
rnacentral:rRNA from 1 species